AGCCUGUCAUUCCAUCUUGGCUGUCUCCCCCAGCUCUGUGGAAUCAGAGCCGUUCACAACCAGAAACGUUUCUAACAAAUCACUGUAAAGUAUGAGGUUUUCUGAGAGUUUUCGCUCAACCUCUAAGAGAUGACUUUCCUAGACUCCAGCGGAAUGAGAAUGAACCUCAAGAAUCUGAGUACUUUAACUGCAAAUUACAAAUCACGUAAUAAUUAUGACAACAAAAGAGAAAUAACACAU